AGAACAAACCUCUGCGAUGUAUCCAUCACCUGUAGUUAACUUCUGGAGAUGGGAAAAGACGCUUUGCCAGCCAUUGAAUAGGUCUCAGUAGCUGUGCUCUCUUCUUGCGCCAGAACCAUAUCGCAGCAUUGUAUUGUUCAUUUCGUAUUUUUCUUGUUGCUGCCUUCCAGUCAUACUUCUCCAUUUCUUCACGUGCUGCUUUACCAAUGGUUUCUCUGAGUUCACGGUUGUUCAACAAUGGUUCUAAUUUCCCCAAGCAAUCAUCAAUAUCUCCAGGAUUAAAGAGAAAGCCAGUUUUGCCCUCCUGGUCUGGUGGAAUUAUAUCUGGGAUUCCCCCAGCACGAACUCCCACCACAGGUAUCCCUGAAGACAUGGCCUCCAAGACAACAAGACCAAGAGUCUCAGAUUCUGAAGGCAUCACGAAAACAUCCCCACUGGCAUAUGCCUGAGAGAGCUCUUCUCCUCCUAACAUCCCAGUAAAGACAGCAGGCAUACCAGAGAACAUCUUUUCAAGUUCAUCCCUAUAUGGUCCAUCUCCAAUAAAGGCAAUUCUUGCAUCUGGAAGCCUAUCCAUCACCCUUUUUAGGAAAUCCAAACUCUUCUCAACCCCAAGUCGCCCAACAUGGACUAUUAAUGGUUUUUCAGGCGCACCAUUGCUGCUUAGACAAAAAUACAUCACUCAGAAGAAUUCGUACGACAAGGUUACAAUGACAUGGACAUAAAAGAAUGAGUGCAUGUACGGGUGGCCUCCGGUUCCAAUUCUUGGAACUGGGGAUCUGAGACCAGACUGCAAGGUCUCUCUCAAUUCCGGUUUGCUUCAAUUUUGAUCCAAUCCAAUGGUUUGAAAAAUUUUCAACAUUUUAAAAGGAAAAAAAAAGCCAGUUUAGCCCCCUGAAUCAAACCAGCCAGUUCUAGUCCGGUUCAAGAGGAGAGAGAAAUCGAUCUGGUUUUGGGUCCAAACCGAAACAUGGUGCACCUAAACAUGUGGUCUUACCUUAAUCUCCAUCGCAUUUCAUGAGAACGGAAACGAGGGUGGAAGCUCUGAGAGUCAACACCCUUAUUCCAAAGGCGAAUCUUAUUAGCUGAAAAAUAUGCAAAACCAAUUAUACUGAGGGGUGGAAAGAGACACAGAAAGGCUUUGAACAAUAGGAGAUUUGGAAAUGAAGCACAUGUCAUUUAUUUUUGUUACAUUGUGAAAUAAAAUGCCCUAGAAAAUUAUUUUAAAAAUAACUGAAAAUUUUGGCGCAGAGUUUUAUAUACUCAACUUUCUCUGAAUUGACAAAUAAACUAUGGGAUAUAGGUAACCAACAAGGAACUAGAUGUUUACGCCCACCUGCUGUCACCCUAGCUGCUUGGAGAUCCCUCCCAAUAGCAGCUGAUGGCACCAGUGUAAGAUCAGCUGCUCGGUGAAGAAAUUUUAUAAUCAACCACAUGGGUUUAACCAGCCAGCUAAAUGUAUACCUUGGGAUGUAUCUGCAAAUGGAAAAAGAAUAAUGCUCAGCCAUGACACUUUAUACAUGGUAAAGAACUCUGGCAGUAGAAGACUGAAUAAGCAGCAUAAACAAGUGCAGCAAAAAUGUCAAAAAGAUCAUAGAAGAACCAAACUCACACAGGGACAUGAGUGUGAUAAGACAUCACUAUAGGGACACACAACAGUUUUGCAAUAAUGAGAGCGCCAAAAACCAUUAUCCCAGGUGAUGAUGCAUGUAUUAUGUCAGGCUUAAACCGUGCAACUUCUGAAAUUAUUCUUGGACUCAGUGCCAAAGAAAGAGGCACCUUUUGGUACCAGGGACAGGGGAAGCUGCAAAGAGGGGGAAAACUUGAGAACCAUAAGAGAAAACCAAUGUAUUAAAGCCAACAUUACUGAACGCAUGCUGACUUUAAAAUCAUGCAGUUGAACUAUGACAUCUAAACAAAAGAAUAUUUGAUAGUUUUUAACUAUGUGUAAUAGCUAUUUGUAAUAAUAAAUAUAAUGCAACAACAGCAGCAAAUUACUUGCAGGCCAAAAGAACAAAUCACCGUCCAACUUAACUAUUAUAAUAGCAUCCUUAAGAUUUGCGUAUAUAGAAGUUAAUUCAUCAAGACAGCCUAAGGUUAUUGUACCAACCUCCGUGAUCCAAUCAAUUUUGCUCCAUAAAACUCCUGAGGUACUCCUUCAUGUGUUGUUACAACCAUCACCUAUGCCAUGUAUGAGCAAAACAAUUUGUCAGUUUUAUUAUGUAAAGGCAUUUUUACCAAGAGAAGCAAAAUGUUAAAACAGCAAGUUGAAGCUUUAAAGAAGCAAGCUGGUUGAUAGUUAGACUGGAAAUAGCUAAUAGAAAAACAGGCAGACUGGCAGAGGCAAAAUCUUAAGCUUUGCCAGACAAAGCCAAUUAUUUGAACCGUUGUGACUCAAGGGUUUCAAACUCUGAAUUCAUGCUGGAAACCUAAAUUAAAAAUAAAUAAAUAUCCUCAAGGGGAUGCCACAAUGGUUAUAACUUAGAAUUCCAACUAGGAGAUCUUAAUUUCAAAUUCUAUUGGAGUUGGGCGAGAGGGUUUCAUGAGAUAAAGAGAGGACUACCUAAUCUAUUAUUUAGCCCAAGACCUCCCAAUACCCAAAAAUGAAAAUAGUAUGGAGAUAGAUUUUACACUAUAAAAUGGAUAACAAGCAAUCUGUCCCCACCCAUAUGCUCAUCCUUGAGAAGCACCAUCAACUUUCAGCGAGGAUGGCAUAUGUUUGGAUUACAAAAUAUUAAACCUAGUCGUGAAAAAUUCCCAAUCGAAUCAUUAUAAAAUUACCUCAUCACCCAUUUCACGUAAAUAUUUGAUAAAAUUCUGGAACCGAUUUUUAUAUCCUGACACAUAUGCAAAUGGAGAAGGCUCAACAAAAAGAGCAAUGCGGCGAGGCCUAGAAUUGGUCUCAGAAUCAAGCAAAAGAGGAGAAUUCUCCCCCUCCUCUUCUCUAACCUCCGUAAUAGUCAUAUGGCUGUCGUUGGCUUUAGCUUUAGCUUUAAAAAGAUGAAAUCUUUUUAGCCAAUUAGAAUCCUGCUUGCAAGAAAUGGUAAUUGGGAUUGCCCUAACAGAAGAAAAGCUCAAAGCUUUAAAAGAAAUAGACAAAGAGCAGCAACAAGAAGAAGGAGAAGGGGAGGCAGAGGAAGAACAAGUGGUUGAGAAAAGUGGAGGAGAGAGAGAGGGAUUUAUAGAGAGAGAAGAGGAGGGUACCAUGAUGGCGGUUAGUACAAAUAUAGUAGGGGGCGAGGGAUGAGCUGGGUUUGCUGAUAGAUUAAUAGUUGUGUAAGAAAAGGAGAAAGGGAGGGAAUUGAAAUUGGAUUAAAGGAAUCUUAAUUCCUGAAUGGCACAAUGACAAAGGAUAUUCUUCCCAAAUAAGCAUCCAGAGAAACACCCGAGUAUAUGCUUCUAACCAAGCUUGCAGACUCUGAUCGCUUUUACUGGUUUUUUGAAAAUAAAAAAAUAAAUAAAUAUAUCGAUUGUGAACCUGUCACUAAUUACAGUUGACUUUGUUUUAUUAUUGUAUAUGAGCUAAAACCAUUGAUAAGUUGAGUCAAUUUUCUUGUGUUCUGGAGCGCCUUUUUU
rnacentral:misc_RNA from 1 species